GGGCCGUUAGCUCAGUUGGUCAGAGCAGAGGACUCAUAAUCCUUUGGUCGCUGGUUCGAGCCCAGCACGGCCUACCA
rnacentral:tRNA from 6 species